rnacentral:rRNA from 1 species
GCCUAGAUGAAUUUGGUGCUUGCACCAAAUGAAACUAGAUACAAGCGAGCGGCGGACGGGUGAGUAACACGUGGGUAACCUGCCCAAGAGACUGGGAUAACACCCGGAAACAGAUGCUAAUACCGGAUAACAACACUAGACGCAUGUCUAGAGUUUAAAAGAUGGUUCUGCUAUCACUCUUGGAUGGACCUGCGGUGCAUUAGCUAGUUGGUAAGGUAACGGCUUACCAAGGCAAUGAUGCAUAGCCGAGUUGAGAGACUGAUCGGCCACAUUGGGACUGAGACACGGCCCAAACUCCUACGGGAGGCAGCAGUAGGGAAUCUUCCACAAUGGACGCAAGUCUGAUGGAGCAACGCCGCGUGAGUGAAGAAGGGUUUCGGCUCGUAAAGCUCUGUUGGUAGUGAAGAAAGAUAGAGGUAGUAACUGGCCUUUAUUUGACGGUAAUUACUUAGAAAGUCACGGCUAACUACGUGCCAGCAGCCGCGGUAAUACGUAGGUGGCAAGCGUUGUCCGGAUUUAUUGGGCGUAAAGCGAGUGCAGGCGGUUCAAUAAGUCUGAUGUGAAAGCCUUCGGCUCAACCGGAGAAUUGCAUCAGAAACUGUUGAACUUGAGUGCAGAAGAGGAGAGUGGACUCCAUGUGUAGCGGUGGAAUGCGUAGAUAUAUGGAAGACAGCCAGUGGCGAAGGCGGCUCU